UACGUAGGGGGCAAGCGUUGUCCGGAUUUAUUGGGCGUAAAGAGCGUGUAGGCGGUUUGGUAGGUCCGCUGUGAAAACUCGAGGCUCAACCUCGAGACGCCGGUGGAAACCAUCAGGCUAGAGUCCGGAAGAGGAGAGUGGAAUUCCUGGUGUAGCGGUGAAAUGCGCAGAUAUCAGGAGGAACACCUGUGGUGUAGACGGCUUUCUGGACCAUUGCUGACGCUGAGACACGAAAGCGUGGGUAGCAAACAGG
rnacentral:rRNA from 1 species